rnacentral:rRNA from 1 species
UACGAAGGGGGCUAGCGUUGUUCGGAAUUACUGGGCGUAAAGCGCGCGCAGGCGGCCCUUUAAGUCCGUCGGUCAAAUGCCGGGGCUCAACCCCGAUGCAUGCCGAGGAUACUGGAGGGCUGGAGACACGUAGAGGCAAGCGGAAUUCCGGGUGUAGCGGUGGAAUGCGUAGAGAUCCGGAAGAACACCGGAGGCGAAGGCGGCUUGCUGGGCGUGAUCUGACGCUGAGGCGCGAAAGCGUGGGGAGCGAACAGG